GUUUUAAUAAUUUAAUAAAAAUACUGGUCUUGUAAACCAGAAAUGAGUUUCCACUCUUAAAUCA
rnacentral:tRNA from 1 species